UUGACCUCGGAUCAGGAGAGGAAUACCCCGGUGAAUGAUAACCAUAUCAGUACGCCCGAGGAGA
rnacentral:rRNA from 1 species